rnacentral:rRNA from 1 species
CACACUGAGGAAUAUUGGACAAUGGAGGCAACUCUGAUCCAGCCAUGCCGCGUGCAGGAUGACGGCCCUAUGGGUUGUAAACUGCUUUUAUGUAGGAAGAAACACUCUCACGUGUGAGAGCUUGACGGUACUACAAGAAUAAGGACCGGCUAACUCCGUGCCAGCAGCCGCGGUAAUACGGAGGGUCCAAGCGUUAUCCGGAAUCAUUGGGUUUAAAGGGUCUCGUAGGCGGGCUAUUAAGUCAGAGGUGAAAGUUUGCAGCUCAACUGUAAAAUUGCCUUUGAAACUGGUAGUCUUGAAUUAUUAUGAAGUGGUUAGAAUAAGUAGUGUAGCGGUGAAAUGCAUAGAUAUUACUUAGAAUACCAAUUGCGAAGGCAGAUCACUAAUAAUAUAUUGACGCUGAGGGACGAAAGCGUGGGGAGCGAACAGGAUUAGAUACCCUGGUAGUCCACGCCGUAAACGAUGGAUACUAGCUGUUCGGAUUUAUCUGAGUGGCUAAGCGAAAGUGAUAAGUAUCCCACCUGGGGAGUACGUUCGCAAGAAUGAACCA